CCCUUAGAUGUUCUGGGCCGCACGCGCGUUACACUGAUGCAUUCAAUGAGCUUAUAACCUUGGCCGAGAGGCCUGGGCAAUCUUGUUAACGUGCAUCGUGAUAGGGAUAGAUUAUUGAAAUUAUUAAUCUUGAACGAGGAAUUCCUAGUAAACGCAGAUCAUCAAUCUGCAUUGAUUACGCCCCUGCCCUUUGUACACACCGCCCGUCGCACCUACCGAUUGGAUGGUCCGGUGAAGCCUCGGGAUUGUGGUUCUUGCCGCUUUAUUGUGGCGUGACCGCGAGAACUUGUCUAAACCUUAUCAUCUAGAGGAAGGUGAAGUCGUAACA
rnacentral:rRNA from 1 species